UUACUUGUAGUGUUUGUGUGUGGCUUGGAGCUGCUCUGCCCAGGGGUGCGGAGUCAGGGUUUGGUGGAGGAGCCGUAAGAACCUCUGGUCGGUGUGUCGCUAUGCCUUGACUGUUGAGGCAAAGGUAGUUAGUAAUCUCAGAUGGAUCAGCCACGGUGGGGAUGGGCGGAUGGUCACUGUAAUCGUGUUUGAUGGAGGCGAUAGGAGCCUCAUAGGAUGAGAUGUUCAGCGGUAGUGGAGCAGAAUGAUCCUUAAAGUUGGGGGGUGUUUUUUGUACCCCUAGGCCGUAGUUGCAGUCAAGAAAGUGUGGCAUCUUGGAGAUGGCAUUAUGGCUUGAAUUCUUUUUAUUUUGAAGGCAGGAGCAGUGAGCCUGGCAGAUAGCGGCCCAAGAAGUGGCUCGUGCCAGGUGGUGCCCAAGCCUCUAGGCAGCAGUCCAAAAGGACUGAGGUGUGGCCCACAGCUCAACUUCUACAAAAUCAGCUCCACAAAAGAAGUGAGGUUCUGACUUGUGAGGAGCCUCGGGCUCAGAGCAGAUGGAGCUGCACCCAGGCUCCUCUCUGAGAGGCAGCGUAGAAAGUAAGUGCGUUGGUUCCUAAACACCUCAGAGGGACGAAGCUGCGCACUGAGGAGCGGUUGAGAAGGUGCUGUGCGGGCCAUCUUUGGAGUCGGAUGAGCACUAGAGGCAAGCAGGACCGGUAGCAAGGAGGCUGCUGCAGCUGGUGCUUUCUCACAAGCACAAUAGUAGUAUCGAUUAUCUUAGGAGCUGCAAGGGAUGAUGGUCACAGCAUCUCUGGCGAUGAGGAGGAUCAGAGUGACUGCAGGAGCAUUCCAGUCAGCUAACGUGGUUUUCCUCACUGACUUCAGACCACAAUCCCUCUGAAA